rnacentral:tRNA from 1 species
GCCCGGGUGGCGAAAUUGGUAGAUGCAAGAGACUUAAAAUCUCUCGACCUUUGGGUCGUGCCGGUUCGAUUCCGGCCUCGGGUACCA